UACGAAGGGGGCUAGCGUUGCUCGGAAUCACUGGGCGUAAAGCGCACGUAGGCGGACUCUUAAGUCGGUGGUGAAAUCCUGGAGCUCAACUCCAGAACUGCCUUCGAUACUGGGAGUCUCGAGUUCGGGAGAGGGUGAGUGGAACUGCGAGUGUAGAGGUGAAAUUCGUAGAUAUUCGCAAGAACACCUAUUGCGAAGGCAGCUCGCUGGGACGUAACUGACGCUGAGACGCGAAAGCGUGGGGAGCAAACAGG
rnacentral:rRNA from 1 species